AGCGAACGCUGGCGGCGUGCUUAACACAUGCAAGUCGAACGCUCCGCAAGGGGAGUGGCGCACGGGUGAGUAACACGUGGGAACCUACCUUCUGGUACGGAACAACCAAGGGAAACUCUGGCUGAUACCGUAUACGACCUCCGGGUGAAAGAUUGAUCGCCGGAAGAGGGGCCCGCGUCCGAUUAGGUAGUUGGUGAGGUAACGGCUCACCAAGCCUGCGAUCGGUAGCUGGUCUGAGAGGAUGACCAGCCACACUGGGACUGAGACACGGCCCAGACUCCUACGGGAGGCAGCAGUGGGGAAUAUUGGACAAUGGGCGCAAGCCUGAUCCAGCCAUGCCGCGUGAGUGAUGAAGGCCUU
rnacentral:rRNA from 1 species